rnacentral:rRNA from 1 species
UCGGGAAUAUUGCGCAAUGGAGGAAACUCUGACGCAGUGACGCCGCGUAUAGGAAGAAGGUUUUCGGAUUGUAAACUAUUGUCGUUAGGGAAGAGGAAGGACAGUACCUAAGGAGGAAGCUCCGGCUAACUACGUGCCAGCAGCCGCGGUAAUACGUAGGGAGCGAGCGUUAUCCGGAUUUAUUGGGUGUAAAGGGUGCGUAGACGGGUAAUUAAGUUAGUUGUGAAAUCCCUCGGCUCAACUGAGGAACUGCAACUAAAACUGGUUAUCUUGAGUGCAGGAGAGGUAAGUGGAAUUCCUAGUGUAGCGGUGAAAUGCGUAGAUAUUAGGAGGAACACCAGUGGCGAAGGCGACUUACUGGACUGUAACUGACGUUGAGGCACGAAAGUGUGGGGAGCAAACA